GCAAAUAUAGUAAAUGCUUACAGAAUAUAGGAGGGAAGCUUUAGGUGGGCUUUAAGGAAACUGAUCCAAAUGUGAAGAAUAUAAUUACUGCAUGCUUGUUAUGCUCUGAAUGAAUAUUCAUCUGACCCAAAAAAAAAAAAAAUCACAACAAAAAAUCCAUAGUUUUUCUUUCUGUUCUUAACAAAUAAACAUUUUAGGAGUUCAGGUUCCAGAUCCUUACCUUAUUAUUUAAAAGGUGAAAUGAUGGUGAGAUGAUGGUGAAAAAAUGGAACCAAGAAGCACCGUACUGUUCUUCAGUUCUGCAGUUUUGAGGAAAAACUGGAUCCUGGAAAUUUUACUUACGUUCUGAAGUACAUUCAUAUUGAAAAAGAAGUUAAAUUGUGUCCAAAGAGAAUCAUAUUUGCAGAACUGAUGCAUCAUUGCGUUCAGUCAAGUCAUUUCCGAAGAAACCUAGUCACAUACUAAUCAUGAAAGUCAAGGUGACCCUUAGCGAGCACCUGAGUCUGCCUGAGAGUUUGCAGUGCACAAUGAAGCCUACUUGUCACUGGAUGGAAGCAGCAGCUUCUAAAAUGGAGUGGUUAGACACCAAAUUGAAAAUGACUUGGCAGCCAGUGUUAUGUGGGGGAGAAUCAUUCCUUGGAAGACUUUUUCAAACCGCUGGACAUUGGAACAUACUAGUAAAUGCAGAGCACAUCCGCUUUUUCACAAGACAUUCCAAGAGUUUGAUUGGUAGACAACAGUUGCCUUGCUGGAAAGGAAGAAGCCAAGAAUCACAAUAGCAAUUGCAAGGAAGGGGAGGAUUCAGCUACAUCUGAACAAGACGUUGACGGCCUGCUGCCAGAGUUGCGUUCAUUUUAGUGUAAUACUAGAGAGGUUUUUCAGCAUCAGUGACUGAUGAACUCAGAGCGGAGUCAAGUUUAAAGAAACCUGUCCACCCUAGCCAUCCCAAGUAGCUUUUUCUUCACCCGCCUGACAGUGGCAGCAAAUACUUUUGUUACCUGACCACUGCUAGUAUGUUCCCUCCCUCAGCAGCUCCCCUAGUAAAAAACUCCCUCACCUUUACCUCUGUCCUUUUCUUCCCCCCACUCUUCACAUGGCUCCUGAUGUGCUUCAAGAACUAGUGUCUUUAUUUUCAGGCGUGCAACAGUUGUAAGCAUGGUGGAUCCUGGUACCUUUACAGAAUCAGGAAACUAUCUCACACACAAAAGUGCUUCCCCCACCUUUUUGCCUGUGAAAUAAAGUGAUUUUCAGACCCUCAUAAGGGUUUAUGAUGGUAGAGGGGAAAAAAGGAGUGACAACCGUGUAAGAACAUUGUACCUUCUCCUUUCACUAACAAAAGAGUGUGUACACACUUUUGAAACCUGAUCCUGCAAGAUGCAACUGGAAUGAGCAGUUUGCACCACACAAGAGCAGUCCUUUGGUGAACCCUGGGCACCUACUUACCUACCAGCAGUGUCAGAUUGCACCGUUGAUCUACUACUAUAGAAACGUAAAGGGACUUUAGAGCAUAAUUUAAGAUGCAAUGCAACUAAUGUCUAGUUAAUCAGUAAAAUGUACAAUUACAAGGCAAUUUAAAUGUGUUUGUUCGGCGGGAUCCUAAGACAGUAAAUUUUCUAUUGCAAUCAUAUCCAAAGAUGAAACUGAAUGAACUGCAAGCACUCAAACUGUAUAAAGACUUUUAGUCAAGCUUCAUCAAUGUGUUCUCUAGCAUGGGCGCCAACUUAUAUGGGCUCGUGGAGCUAAAGCCCCAGGAAUAUUCAAAAUCAGGGGCUCUGCUCCACCAAUAUUUGGAGCUAGGU